rnacentral:rRNA from 1 species
UACAGAGGGGGCAAGCGUUAUUCGGAAUUACUGGGCGUAAAGCGCAUGUAGGCGGCAGCGCAAGUCGGGCGUGAAAUCCCACGGCUCAACCGUGGAAGUGCACUCGAAACUGCGCAGCUAGAGUCCUGGAGAGGAAGGUGGAAUGCUUGGUGUAGCGGUGAAAUGCGUAGAUAUCAAGAGGAACACCUGCGGCGAAGGCGGGUUGCUGGGCCGACACUGACGCUGAUGCGCGAAAGCUAGGGGAGCGAACGGG